GUGCUUGCUUCGGCAGCACAUAUAGUAAAAUUGGAAUGAUAUAGAGAAGAUUAGCAUGGCCCCCGCACAAGGAUGACACACAAAUUUGUGAAGCAUUCCAUAUUAAA
rnacentral:snRNA from 1 species